rnacentral:rRNA from 1 species
AUUGAACGCUGGCGGCAGGCUUAACACAUGCAAGUCGAGCGGGGUGAUGGUGCUUGCACUAUCACUUAGCGGCGGACGGGUGAGUAAUGCUUAGGAAUCUGCCUAUUAGUGGGGGACAACAUCUCGAAAGGGAUGCUAAUACCGCAUACGUCCUACGGGAGAAAGCAGGGGAUCACUUGUGACCUUGCGCUAAUAGAUGAGCCUAAGUCGGAUUAGCUAGUUGGUGGGGUAAAGGCCUACCAAGGCGACGAUCUGCAGCGGGUCUGAGAGGAUGAUCCGCCACACUGGGACUGAGACACGGCCCAGACUCCUACGGGAGGCAGCAGUGGGGAAUAUUGGACAAUGGGGAGAACCCUGAUCCAGCCAUGCCGCGUGUGUGAAGAAGGCCUUAUGGUUGUAAAGCACUUUAAGCGAGGAGGAGGCUCUUUUGGUUAAUACCCAAGAUGAGUGGACGUUACUCGCAGAAUAAGCACCGGCUAACUCUGUGCCAGCAGCCGCCGUAA